AGUGAACGCUGGCGGUAGGCCUAACACAUGCAAGUCGAACGGCAGCACAGUAAGAGCUUGCUCUUACGGGUGGCGAGUGGCGGACGGGUGAGGAAUACAUCGGAAUCUACUUUUUCGUGGGGGAUAACGUAGGGAAACUUACGCUAAUACCGCAUACGACCUACGGUUGAAAGCAGGGGAUCUUCGCACCUUGCGCGAUUGAAUUAGCCGAUGUCGGAUUAGAUAGUUGGCGGGGUAAAGGCCCACCAAGGCGACGAUCCGUAGCCGGUCUGAGAGGAUGGUCAGCCACACUGGAACUGAGACACGGUCCAGACUCCUACGGGAGGCAGCAGUGGGGAAUAUUGGACAAUGGGCGCAAGCCUGAUCCAGCCAUACCGCGUGGGUGAAGAAGGCCCUCGGGUUGUAAAGCCGUUUUGUUGGGAAAGAAAAGCAGCAGGUUAAUACCCCGCUGUUCUGACGGUACCCAAAGAAUAAGCACCGGCUAACUUCGUG
rnacentral:rRNA from 1 species